UUGAACGCUGGCGGCAUGCCUUACACAUGCAAGUCGAACGGUAGAGGGGCAACCCUUGAGAGUGGCGAACGGGUGAGUAAUAUAUCGGAACGUGCCCAGUCGUGGGGGAUAACGCAGCGAAAGCUGCGCUAAUACCGCAUACGAUCUAUGGAUGAAAGCGGGGGAUCGCAAGACCUCGCGCGAUUGGAGCGGCCGAUAUCAGAUUAGGUAGUUGGUGGGGUAAAAGCCCACCAAGCC
rnacentral:rRNA from 1 species